rnacentral:rRNA from 1 species
GACGAACGCUGGCGGCGUGCUUAACACAUGCAAGUCGAACGGAAAGGCCCUGCUUUUGUGGGGUGCUCGAGUGGCGAACGGGUGAGUAACACGUGAGUAACCUGCCCUUGACUUUGGGAUAACUUCAGGAAACUGGGGCUAAUACCGGAUAGGAGCUCCUGCUGCAUGGUGGGGGUUGGAAAGUUUCGGCGGUUGGGGACGGACUCGCGGCUUAUCAGCUUGUUGGUGGGGUAGUGGCUUACCAAGGCUUUGACGGGUAGCCGGCCUGAGAGGGUGACCGGCCACAUUGGGACUGAGAUACGGCCCAGACUCCUACGGGGGGCAGCAGUGGGGAAUAUUGCACAAUGGGCGGAAGCCUGAUGCAGCAACGCCGCGUGCGGGAUGACGGCCUUCGGGUUGUAAACCGCUUUCGCCUGUGACGAAGCGUGAGUGACGGUAAUGGGUAAAGAAGCACCGGCUAACUACGUG